AAACCAUGAGUCAGGAAUCUGAAAAAUGUUUUCCAUACUCUGAUGUGCCCUUCAGUCUCUUGGACUUCAGGUUGGUUCUUGAAGGUCACAUUGGAUGGAGGGCUGGUGGACCAGACACCCCUAAAGUGGACCGUACCAUUUCUUUACGGUGAUGUUUGAAGAGCGUCUCCUCAGCCUGCGUCACUCCAUCAGUGUCUCCGUCCUCAAGUCUCUGUCCUCGAGCUUCACACAAACAAACUGAGACACUCGAAGGUAAAUGUUGAUAAAUGAUUUAUUCCUUCCUCUGUUGCUGUCGGUGUAGCACUUGUAUAUUCCCUGGUCCUGAACCUGCAGCCCUGUCAGCUG